ensembl:lncRNA
GGGACGUUGACGCGCAGGCGCGUCUUCAUUUGGCUCGCGCGCCGAAUGCAUGAUUCGCGCAAAACUUACUUAUUCCCUUAUGAAUUUGGAGUACACGGCGAACACAAAACAGCAUUUGCAAGAUGCCAAGAAGCUUCUGGUAAUUUAGUUUCCAGAAGCAGCAGAACCUCCAGUAAUCGAGGAUAUUCGCGUGCUCGGAAACACGCAUAUUCUUAAUUCUUCGGGCAAAGUUAAACAUCAUCAGCGUCGUCACUUGGCAGCUGCGCGCGUAGAAUAUAAAUAAGAAUAUGCAGUAGCAACAGGAGGGUCCAAAUAGAGCGAGUUCCCUUCCUCGCGCCGGAGGUUUAAAAUAGCUCCCGUCGUCGGACGAGCGCGUGCUCGUUUGAACAGUUGUUGCGCGAGCAGCAGGUGUUCGCAGCGGGUGACUUACAGCCCUCCUCGUGGAGGGUCUCUGUCAGAAAUCUCACUCAUUCAUGAGCGCGUGGGGGGGCGGGGAAGGACGCGCGGGAGUGUGUGUGUGUGUGUGUGUGUGUCGGUGGGUGCGUGGGUGGGGGGGUCUGACUGACACCUGUGUUAAGAGCAGAGCCGCCACUCGGCGCGACAGGUUCAGUUAGCGCACUGAGCUCCACGAAAUAUCGAGUCACUUGCGCUCCGACGCUUUGGCAAAGGCUGGGUAAAGUACCUGCUUCUUUACCGAGUGAAAAGCACCGUUCGCCUGGAAUCCUUUGCGCUCCGGACCUCACGGACCUCACGAACGCUCCCGAAGUGCCAACUGUGCCACAACAGGGGGCAAAACAAAUGCGUACACAGGAACAAAGAGGGAACAGUUGUUUUGGGAGAUGUAGCACAUCACUGCGAACACUGCGCCUGUGCCCUGUGAGCGCUGGUGCCCCGGCGGGCUGGAUGUGCAUGGAAGGGAAUGGGGAAAGCAGCUGAUUACAGCAGGGAUUCACAGCGCUCAUGGAAGCACACUGUUGCUGUGCUGCUGCUGCUCAUCCAGCUGCGCUGCUCAAAAGGAGGGACCCAGUGCCGAAUCCUCAGGUGUAACUCGGAGUUUGUGAGCGCGACCAGCAGGAGCCACGAGGGUGGCAACGAGGGCUACUGCAGCGCCCUGCGCUCCUACGCCCUGUGCACCCGGCGGACAGCCAGGGCCUGUCGUGGUGACCUUGCCUACCACUCGGCCGUGCAGGGGAUCGAGGACCUCCUGAUGCAGUACGACUGCCCCAAGACGGGUCCCACCGCCCAGCACCGCCCCCCAUCGCAGACCCCGCUCUCUGGCGACGCUUGUUUCUACGAGAGGGCCUUUCAGCAACGUGAAGGCCGCCUCCCCGAGUACUUACAUUGUGGGGUUUUUGGGGACCCCCACAUACGCACCUUCAACAAUGAGUUUCAGACCUGUGUAGUGGAGGGUGCGUGGCCGCUGAUCGAUAACGAGUACCUGUACGUACAGGCCACCAGCACGGCCGUGGCAGGCCGGGAACGCACCACGGUACUCAGCAAGGUCACCGUCAUCUUCAAGAAUUGGCGCGAGUGCAUCGAGCAGCAGAUCUACCAGGCAGAGCUGGACAAUGUACCGGGUGCCUUCGUGGACGGCUCCGUGAGCGACGGCGAGCGGCGUGGCCACCACAGCCUACAGGUGCGCAGCCAGGCUCCCGGGCGCCACGCGGAGAUCUGGGCCGCGCACAUUGGGACCACCCUGGUGGUUAGACAGACGGGACGCUCACUGGGCCUGUCGGUGCGCUCCCCUCGGGCUAUAGUGGACUCCUUCACCGCGGAGAAAGACCUACAGCUGUGCAUGUGGGGCUGCCCCUCCUCGCAGCGACUGGCUGGUCCCCCGGCAGAUCCCUCCGGCUUCGCUCACACCCACUGCUCUGGCGUCCUCCCCACCAAGGACAUUUACUUCCAAGCCUGUGUGCUGGAUGUCCUGGCCAGCGGGGACUCCAACUCGAGCACCGCUGCCGUUGCAGCCCUGGAGGACGCCCGCGCUAUGAUUUCCGAACCGGAGAAAGUGCACCUGCUGCUUGCGAGGACAGCUGAGCACCGCCCCCGCCUUACCGUGAUUUUCACUGUGGUGAUUUUCACGGGGCAAAUGGUUGAGGCCCUGUCUAUGCUCUGUGCAUAAUCAACAGACUUCAGUUUUUGUAAAAGGUUCUGCCUUCUGUAGCUUCUUCCAGUCAGAGAUUCCACCACUUUUUGGUGGUGCUGGUGAUACCACAAUGUCAUGCAUUAAGUUUCUCUCUACAAGGACAGAAACAAGCAAGUGGCAAAUUCAUUGUUCUCCCAGUUUUUUGUGCUCUCGGUUUGUUUCUGUAUGAUUUUCACUAUUCUGCUAUGGCGCGGAUUAUCUGAAUAUUUUGUGGUUAACAAUAUUUCAUAUGUUCUACAGAAAUGAUGACACUUGACCUGGAGUUAAAGUGCAGUAUUAAACAAUGUGGCACAAAGUGGUUUUGGAUCAUGUAAAUACAGUAUGUACAGUGUUAGUCGGCUGGCAUAACUCGUUUUGUGGAUGUUCCAUUACUGGCAGUUAUGUUUGCUCUACAUACCAAUGUGAGGUGUGUUAAAAAAUGAAUAAUAUAUUUGGUUUUCUGCCACACUCAUUCAAGAGAAAACCGUCUAGAAAAUUACAAUGUUUUAUGCAAUAUGUUUCUGCAUGUGUAAGUAAUAUAUGGCUGUAGUUAGAGUCAAAAAACGAUACAGCCAGAUUUCGAUUCAGAGACCAUCUUCUGUGCUGCCAGCACUGGGGUGAGAGUCCCUGGGUCGAGGGUUGCAAGCCUUCUUCGUUCGUACUGCCUUACCUACUGAAGACCACCUACUGAACAGGCAGAUGUGUCCCGAGAAGCACCUGACCACUCCAAAAACUGCAUGCAACAUAUGAACUCUUCUCCUCUGUGUGAGCAGACACUUGCCUUCACCCCCCCCUCCCAUUUCCACCAUUCCCUAUUGACACUGUGCCAGCCCUGUUUUUAAACAUUGCCCUUUUUAUUCAACUUGUUGCAUGUCUCUCUUUUUCGCAUUUUUCUUUAGUUUGAAGUCUGAAGGAACCUGUUGGAAAGGGUGCAAUACAAAGACAUAUUGAAUUGAAUCAUAGUUAUAUGAACUCAUAUUCGUUAUUAGUGGGAAUAUUUAAGGGAUCUUUUAUUUGUCACUACUGUUUUAUGUGCGCAAAUAUAAAAAUCUUAAUGAUGGAAUAAAGAUGAAUAUUCAGGCA